UGGGGAAUUUUGGACAAUGGGCGAAAGCCUGAUCCAGCAAUGCCGCGUGCGUGAAGAAGGCCUUCGGGUUGUAAAGCACUUUUGUCCGGAAAGAAAUCCUUGGCUCUAAUACAGUCGGGGGAUGACGGUACCGGAAGAAUAAGCACCGGCUAACUACGUGCCAGCAGCCGCGGUAAUACGUAGGGUGCAAGCGUUAAUCGGAAUUACUGGGCGUAAAGCGUGCGCAGGCGGUUUGCUAAGACCGAUGUGAAAUCCCCGGGCUCAACCUGGGAACUGCAUUGGUGACUGGCAGGCUAGAGUAUGGCAGAGGGGGGUAGAAUUCCACGUGUAGCAGUGAAAUGCGUAGAGAUGUGGAGGAAUACCGAUGGCGAAGGCAGCCCCCUGGGCCAAUACUGACGCUCAUGCACGAAAGCGUGGGGAGCAAACAGGAUUAGAUACCCUGGUAGUCCACGCCCUAAACGAUGUCAACUAGUUGUUGGGGAUUCAUUUCCUUAGUAACGUAGCUAACGCGUGAAGUUGACCGCCUGGGGAGUACGGUCGCAAGAUUAAAACUCAAAUGAAUUGAC
rnacentral:rRNA from 1 species